rnacentral:rRNA from 1 species
UCGCCACGGUAAUACCAGCUCUCCGAGUGGUGGGGGACGCUUAUUGGGGCCUAAAAGCAUCCGUAGCCGGCUGGACAAGUCCCCCUGUUAAAUCCAGCGAUUUUAAUCGUUGGACUGCGGAGGAUACUGUCCAGCUAGGGGGGCGGGAGAGGCCGUCGGGUAUUCUUGGGGUAGGGGUGAAAUCCUAUAAUCCCAAGAGGACCACCAGUGGCGAAGGC